UCAGUACGCUUUGCUUUUAAAAGCUCCCUAGUUUGGCGGCGGUGGAGAAGGGGAGAGGCUAUGGAGGAUAAAGGGAAAAAUUGGAGGGCGGAGGUGGGGGAGAAUCUCAGUCGUCUCCAAUCCCUUCUAUUCGGAGCGGAAUCCGCCGCCCAGCGCGGGGAUCAUGCAACAGCUCAGGUCCUUGGCCUCCGCCUCCUUGGCUUUCUCGACUCCCGCACCGUCUCGCCCUUAGACGCAGCCUAUAUAACUCCAAUUCGCACCGAGGUGCAAUCGAGAGUAGCUGCUGCCUCCCGAGCCCUUGCUCCCGAUUCCGAUCAACAGGCAUAUGAACAGGCGAGAAGAGAUGUAGGUCAUAUAUUUGUCAAGAGUGGUGCUAUGGACAUUCAGAAUAUUACAAUCUCCAAGCACUUUCAAGAUUUUCUACGUAUACCCAGAGGAAAUAUUGAAGACCAAAUGGUAUCAAGUACAUCUUCAGAUGCUAACUUAUUUUCUACCGAAGGCUGUGACACCCAGAAGCAACAGAAACAACUAGAAAUCCAAUUUAAUAGGCAACAUGAAAAGCUUAGCAUCAGGGCAUCUAAACUAAUGACACAGAUGAAGAUUACAUCCAUUUAUGGCAGCAAUUCCAUGAAGUUGAAUCAAACAGAUAAUAAAAAGCAACAAAAUUCUGAAGGUUUCAUUUCUAUGGGAUGUAUUGAUGUUGAGAGUGAACAUUCAGAGAGCUGCAGUUUUGUUAGAAAUGCCGAUGACACUGCCCUGCAAACUGAGGAAGAAGAAAAGUCUCACGCCAUUACCCUGAAACCCAAACGCAAACACUCAGAAUUUACUAGUCCAAUAUGUGCUAAUGUAAAAUCCCCACCAGUAUGUGAAGAAGCCAAUGUAGAUACCCCUGGCAAUGUUUUUGUUACGGCAAGAGCAAAAUUGGAAAUGGAUGCCAGGCGAAAGCACAGUGGUAGGGGUUCUUUAAAUCCCGCUAUAUCUGCACAUGUGGAGAAUAAUCCGGCUGGAACAGCAAGAAACUAUGGCAUGAGGUCUGGAUUUCCACGCCGUGGAUUUCGUGGUAAUUUUGUACCUCCCAUUAAAUCAAACGGGGGGAAUGCUGGAAAUACAAUAAGCUCACGGAUUUCAGAGAAAAAUGAUGAUUUGUUGGAUGAUUCUACAAGAACAUGUUUGGAAAUAUUGUGUGGUCCUGAUGGGGAGCUUCCUGAGAAGUUGAGAAAUAUAGAACCACGUCUUAUUGAACAUGUUAGUAAUGAGAUAAUGGACAAGGACCCUAAUGUUCGAUGGAAUGACAUAGCUGGUUUGGAACAUGCGAAGAAAUGUGUUACGGAGAUGGUUAUUUGGCCUCUUUUGCGGCCUGACAUAUUUCGAGGUUGUCGCUCUCCCGGAAGAGGUCUACUUUUAUUUGGGCCCCCAGGAACAGGUAAAACAAUGAUAGGUAAAGCUAUUGCUGGAGAAGCCAAAGCAACCUUUUUUUACAUAUCAGCUAGUUCAUUGACAAGCAAAUGGAUUGGUGAAGGGGAGAAGCUUGUCAGGGCACUUUUUGGGGUUGCAAGUUGUCGCCAACCAGCAGUAAUAUUUGUGGACGAAAUAGACUCCCUUCUAUCACAGAGGAAGUCAGAUGGUGAACAUGAAUCAAGCAGGCGACUUAAAACACAAUUCCUAAUCGAGAUGGAAGGAUUUGACAGUGGAAACGAACAAAUCCUUCUCGUAGAAACUAUAGGUGCAACCAACAGACCCCAGGAACUCGAUGAGGCUGCACGGAGAAGACUUACAAAGCGGCUGUACAUACCUCUCCCUUCCUCAGAAGCUAGAGCCUGUAUUGUACGUAAUCUUCUCGAUAAGGAUGGGCUGUUCCAGCUUUCAGAUGAAGAUAAUGCCACCAUCUGCAAGUUAACUGAAGGCUAUUCGGGAUCAGACAUGAAGAACCUUGUCAAGGAUGCAUCCAUGGGACCACUAAGAGAAGCCCUCAGGCUGGGUAUCGAGCUAACAAAGCUCAAGAAGGAGGAUAUGAGACCAGUGACCCUUCAGGACUUUAAGAACGCUUUGCAAGAAGUGAGACCUUCAGUUUCAUUUAAUGAGCUCGGCACUUACGAGGAAUGGAAUAGGCAAUUUGGGAGCUUAUCAAUGUAAGCUUUGACAUCACAUUGUUGUAGCAGUUUCUAUGAAAACACAUGGCGAAAAAACAUAGACUAUGUAAUAUAUUUUUAACUGAGAGGAAGAGGAAGGAAGCAACAUGGUUGGAGGAAGAAACGACAACUAGGAUGCAUGAACCAUGGAUGAAUGAAUACAUGCAAUAUGGUGGAGCUCUAUCGUUGCAAGUUCUGCUAGUUCAAUCAUAGUUCUAAUUCAUCGCCUCAAAUUCAGCCAUGUCUAAGCACUCGGCAGCUCCUAUUUCUGAAUUCAACGGCCAAGAAAUAUAUACAAAGUAAAUUAACUCACUGCAAAAUUAAAUUAAUAUUUUGUACGUUUAUAAACUAUGUUACUGAAAACAUUUGGUAAAUUCUCACCAAAAGUUUAAAGAUAUACGUAUUUGACAUAUGAGCUCUCAACAAGCCGACCAAUUCCAGACUGGCAUUUGCCAAUUUUUUUUAAAACUGUUGAUACUCUUUCUGAUAGUAAUA